rnacentral:rRNA from 1 species
UACGGGGGGGGCAAGCGUUGUUCGGAAUUACUGGGCGUAAAGGGCUCGUAGGCGGCCAACUAAGUCGGACGUGAAAUCCCCAGGCUCAACCUGGGAACUGUGUCCGAUACUGGAUGGCUUGAAUUCGGGAGAGGGAUGCAGAAUUCCAGGUGUAGCGGUGAAAUGCGUAGAUAUCUGGAGGAAUACCGGUGGCGAAGGCGGCAUCCUGGACCGACAUUGACGCUGAGGAGCGAAAGCUAGGGGAGCAAACGGG